rnacentral:rRNA from 1 species
UACGUAGGGGGCAAGCGUUGUCCGGAGUUACUGGGCGUAAAGCGCACGCAGGCGGUUUGUUAAGUUUGGAGUGACAGUUGGUGGCUUAACUGCCAAAGUGCUUCGAAAACUGAUCGACUUGAGGGCUUCAGAGGGACACGGAAUUCCGGGUGGAGUGGUGAAAUGCGUAGAGAUCCGGAGGAACACCGAAGGCGAAGGCAGUGUCCUGGGGAGUACCUGACGCUCAGGUGCGAAAGCCAGGGGAGCGAACGGG